rnacentral:ncRNA from 2 species
UAUUUAACAUAGGGGAGCCUCUGGCUGAGAUAAAGCAUCUGCUUUGACCCUUAAAACCUGAUCUAGAUAAUACUAGCGAAGGGAAGUGUGAAUUAGUAUUUA